UAGGGAAUCUUCGGCAAUGGGGGGAACCCUGACCGAGCAACGCCGCGUGAGUGAAGAAGGUUUUCGGAUCGUAAAGCUCUGUUGUUAAGGAAGAACGAGUGUGAGAAUGGAAAGUUCAUGCUGUGACGGUACUUAACCAGAAAGGGACGGCUAACUACGUGCCAGCAGCCGCGGUAAUACGUAGGUCCCGAGCGUUGUCCGGAUUUAUUGGGCGUAAAGCGAGCGCAGGCGGUUAGAAAAGUCUGAAGUGAAAGGCAGUGGCUCAACCAUUGUAGGCUUUGGAAACUGGUUGACUUGAGUGCAGAAGAGGAGAGUGGAAUUCCAUGUGUAGCGGUGAAGUGCGUAGAUAUAUGGAGGAACACCAGUGGCGAAGGCGACUCUCUGGUCUGUAACUGACGCUGAGGCUCGAAAGCGUGGGUAGCAAACAGG
rnacentral:rRNA from 1 species